ACAACAAUCAAGUCUCAUGUCGUCACGACUGUCGACAGUGUCGACGCUCUACGGUCUGUCGUGGUCCUGUCGUCAGUCGUGGUGUUGUGCGAGUGUGUAGUUAAAGACUGUGGUUAAGGAUUUGGCUUUAGUUUUGUUUACCGGCGUUUUUGUUAAUAAUUGUUUUUAAUUUCUGUAUAAGUGACUAUUUGUGUUGGUGGAUUUGUUUUUGGUUAUUUGAAGAAUUCAAGAUGAAGUGCUUUUUAGGAACAUAACACUUUCCUGGAUUUAUUUCGCUUAAAGGUGUUGUUCGCACGUAACGAUUUUCCAUAUAAUACAAGAGGAGUUCCGUAUACUUUUCUCUAAUGGAACUGUGUAACACAAAAUUUAAAAAAACUAAAUAUAAUUUAACAAACGCAUCAUUUAAACAGUGAUAAAUUUGUUCGGAAGCCAAAAGUCGUUGGUCUAAAUAUUUUUCGUUAAAAAAUAAUUGAAGCGCUGCCCACUGUUCCAGCAGUCUUGAAACUACUUGUCCUAAGGACAACCAUCGAGUUUGGGAUGGAUGCAAAAGUUUGUGAACUUCAACCUCGACGAAAUGCUGAAAUUGCCUGUAUUCGAAUUGUCUUUUUGAACUUGACUAAAA